rnacentral:rRNA from 1 species
CAGUCGCCGCGGGAAUACGUAGGUGGCAAGCGUUGUCCGGAAUUAUUGGGCGUAAAGGGCUCGCAGGCGGUUUCUUAAGUCUGAUGUGAAAGCCCCCGGCUCAACCGGGGAGGGUCAUUGGAAACUGGGAAACUUGAGUGCAGAAGAGGAGAGUGGAAUUCCACGUGUAGCGGUGAAGUGCGUAGAGAUGUGGAGGAACACCAGUGGCGAAGGCGACUCUCUGGUCUGUAACUGACGCUGAGGAGCGAAAGCGUGGGGAGCGAACAGGAUUAGAUACCCCCGUAGUCCCUGUCUCUUAUAC